ACUCAAGUGGCCCUCAGCAUGAACUGGACAUGGAAAAUCCUCUUCCUGCUCUCAGUGGCCACAGGUGUGCACUCCCAGGCGCAGCUGGUACAGUCUGGGGCCGAGGUGAGGAAACCUGGGACAUCAGUGAAGAUUUCCUGCAAGGCAUCUGGAUAUACCUUCACAGAUUACUGGAUACACUGGGUGCAGCAGCGUCCUGGACAAGGGCUUGAGUGGAUAGGAUAUGUAAGCCCCAGCAGUGGUAGUACAGGAUAUGCACCAAAUUUCCGGGGCAGAGUCUCCCUCACAGCAGACAAGUCCACCAGCACAGCCCACAUGGAACUGAGCAAUCUGAGGUCUGAGGACACUGCCACUUACUACUGUACGAGACACACAAUGUGA